UGCAAUCAGUGAUGAAUAAAAUCGUCUGUAUUUAAUGACAAUCCUGUGAUUAUUCAACAUUAGAUCACCAUCUUUCGGCUGAGAUUGCA
rfam:Brassica napus, WGS project CCCW01000000 data, contig: 6364